GACGAACGCUGGCGGCGUGCUUAACACAUGCAAGUCGAACGGAAAGGCCCUGCUUUUGUGGGGUGCUCGAGUGGCGAACGGGUGUGUAACACGUGAGUAACCUGCCCUUGACUUUGGGAUAACUUCAGGAAACUGGGGCUAAUACCGGAUAGGAGCUCCUGCUGCAUGGUGGGGGUUGGAAAGUUUCGGCGGUUGGGGAUGGACUCGCGGCUUAUCAGCUUGUUGGUGGGGUAGUGGCUUACCAAGGCUUUGACGGGUAGCCGGCAUGAGAGGGUGACCGGCCACAUUGGGACUGAGAUACGGCCCAGACUCCUACGGGAGGCAGCAGUGGGGAAUAUUGCACAAUGGGCGGAAGCCUGAUGCAGCAACGCCGCGUGCGGGAUGACGGCCUUCGGGUUGUAAACCGCUUUCGCCUGUGACGAAGCGUGAGUGACGGUAAUGGGUAAAGAAGCACCGGCUAACUACGUG
rnacentral:rRNA from 1 species